rnacentral:rRNA from 1 species
UACGUAGGGUGCGAGCGUUAAUCGGAACUACUGGGCGUAAAGCGUGCGCAGGCGGUUCGUUGUGUCGGUGGUGAAAUCCCCGGGCUUAACCUGGGAAUGGCCAUGGAAACUGGCGAACUGGAGUGCGGCAGAGGUGAGUGGAAUUCCCAGUGUAGCGGUGAAAUGCGUAGAUAUUGGGAGGAACACCAGUGGCGAAGGCGGCUCACUGGACCGGAACUGACGCUGAGGCGCGAAAGCGUGGGGAGCAAACAGG